rnacentral:lncRNA from 1 species
UUCUAAGCACAGGCAUUAGAGCAGUAAACUAAAUACACAAAAAUCCCUGCCCUCAUGGAGCAUAAAGUCAAGGAUGGAGAUGGAUAAUCAUCAAAUGGUAGGUUGAGUCGUAUGAAAUGACAAUUCUUGUAGGUAAACAUUAUCAACUACUGACAGUUUCUUGUGACUGCUAGGAUGAAGUCUGUGCCUGAGGGAUGCUUGUCAGGGCCCAGGAACUCCUGCCCAGGCUGCUCUGAAGCUGCUUCAGCCUGAGAGCAGUGGAGAACCAGGGCCAGGCUGGGCUCAGACAGGUAGCUUUGCUUCCCACUGUGGACCUCGUGAGGGGAGGACUACGUGUGGCAUUCACCACAGAGGGACACCCAAGUCACUGAUCUUGCUGGGAUUCCUUUGGUAGAAGAGGCUUUAUCUACAUACCCAAAGAAAUGAUAAAUAAGAUUUUUUAAAAAAAUUUAUUUUUGCUUACCUGAAGGCCCAGUUUUCUCUUAGACAUUAG